UUCAAUGGGCGGGCCUGGGUGGGGAGACCUUCGGGUCUGCCGGGUGCUUACGUGACCGGUUCGCCAACCUCGCCUUGUGCCCGCUCACCCCA
rnacentral:antisense_RNA from 1 species